rnacentral:lncRNA from 1 species
CUUCGUUCAGUCGCGCCCGGCAAACGAAUCCCUUCAUUUGCUAACAGCCACGUCGCGCCUUCUGCAGUUGCAUUCAGGACAGCAGCUCGCAAGAAGUUCUGCAGCAGCCGAAAACUAAAAUUCAGACACGCCGCACCCCCAGAACUGUAAAGGAUAGCGCUUGCAGCAGGCCCCGGGUGGGGUAGUGCCGCCGCAGAGCACCACCAGUCGUAGCCGAGCGGCCGGCUACAGCCUUUGGCGCUGGCUGGCUGCGCGGAGGGGCGCAAUUACGUUCGCACUAGUUUUCGGACGGGUCGUAAUUAUCUCGCAAAAUCGCACCCCGUCCCUUUUCUUUCAUUCGCCGUUCUCUCUCGCUCGUGCGGGUUCCCACACACAGCGGUCGCGAGAGAUGAGCUCGGUGAGAACGCAAGAAGGCAAAAGAACAAGACACCACGAAAGCGUCGUCAUUCUGAAGUCGCGUCAGCCGGGUGGAUGGGGGCUGCGAACGAAACACGCCGCCGGUCCAAAUUGCGCCGCUGCGUCAGCGAGCGAGCCAGAAGGCUACACGAACGCUGCUGCUGCUCCAGCGCAAAACGGCGACGAAAAAAAAAGAUUCCCCCCGCAGCGCAACCAGAGCAACAGCGAGCCAGGCAAGUGCGCGCCGCACAAAGCGACACGAGAAGCAAAACAAAGAAAAAAGCCCAGCAUAACCAGAACACACGCAUCCCUAGAAUAAGCCCUGGGAGGAACGAAGCCCGCACAAGAGCGGAGUGGGGAGGAGGAGGAACGGGCCGCUGGAACAGAGUUUGAAAAGAACGCCGGCGAGCACUGGUGGAGGGGAAGGGGCCAGGCAAGAAAAUAAAGAAAGCGCGCGCAAGCCUGCAGCAGCCGCAGUGCACAGGGAAAGGCACGUCGGCUACAGAGAAGGCUGGAACAGCGAGGGAGCGAGCGAGCGAAACGACGUCAGCUUUAUUUUUUGCUGCUGCCUUCUCCUUUGGAGCCGGGCGCUUAUUUUAUCCUCCUACUCGCCAUCUCCGGGGCUAUUAUCGCGCGCGCGCGCACUCCCCCCCAGCCACCCGCCGUUUUCAGGCCGCGACAGCUGCGCGCGCCUCCGAUUGGACGAAACGCGCUGACGGCUCUUCCAUGCAGACGACGGCACCCCCCGCUUUUACCGCAGUAGCAGAAGAGCGGCGCGGGCCGUGCGCAGGCGCGAGCUGCGGAGAGGGCGCGCGAGCCUGCAGAAGGACGGACGGCUAGGACAGAGAACGGCGCUGUGCAUCCUAGAUCGAAACCCGCCGCCCCGAAUUGCCACGUAGGCACUUAUCUCCCAUCGUAUUUGCAAGUAGGCACGGGAUAACGCCGCUGGCGAGUUUCGUAUUCGGCAAAAAAAAAACGUCCCCAGUACGCUAGCGAGUCAGAGUGCCCUUUUUUUUUAUAUAUCUUUCAUCGGCAGCGGCGAAGUUGGAGUAUAGAGUACGUACAGCGCUACGCCGACCAUCCGCUCACAGUGUGCCGCGCUCCAUCCAGCGUCGACCGACAGCCGAAGCCGCCGCCGAGCCCGUCCGGCACGGCCCGAGCUCCCCACAGCGCCACGACGCCAUUGCUCAGCGUGCUCAUGUAUAUGCAAUACGGCGUUCGUUAAGUAACGUAAUAAAUUCGUCCAAAUGCAAAUGAAUCUUUCGCCGAUCUCGUUGCUUCGACAGCGAACAAGCGCGGCGGCUUCUUUAGCUAGGGACACCUCAUGUAUCUUCGAACUCGCUACAACACAAGAGACGAGGGGCCUCUCACUCUCGCGUAAAACGCCGCCAUCAACAACGUGCCCCCGCAAUUAAUGGAUGCAGAGAGGCCACAGUCGAACGUGACGUAGCGUCGUCGUUGCAAUCAGUGGCUUCUGCACGACAUGGCGUGACUUCUUCCCGUUUCGACGGAGACAUGCUGCGCUGUAAUGCAGUGAGCUAGAGCCACUGCACGAAUCGUGGCGAUGAUGACUCGCCAUUCGGUUUCUAAAAGCCAGAGGCGCAGGGCAUUACGCCACACAAAACAGAAGUCAUCCACGUUAUUAGCUCCCAUCCAACAGGCAAUAAACAUAAUGUUACGGUAGCGCUGGGCUGUCUGCUA